rnacentral:siRNA from 1 species
UCAAAUCCUGCUCCCCAAAGCCCU